UGGGGGAUAUUGCACAAUGGGCGAAAGCCUGAUGCAGCGACGCCGCGUGGGGGAUGAAGGCCUUCGGGUUGUAAACUUCUUUUGCUCUGAACAAGGCAUGCUAAUGGGUGUGUUGAGUGUAGGGGUUGAUUAGCGCCGUCUAACUACGUGCCAGCAGCCGCGGUAAUACGUAGGGCGCGAGCGUUGUCCGGAAUUAUUGGGCGUAAAGGGCUUGUAGGUGGCUGGUUGCGUCUGUCGUGAAAGCUCAUGGCUUAACCGUGGGUUUGCGGUGGGUACGGGCUGGCUUGAGUGCAGUAGGGGAGGCUGGAAUUCCUGGUGUAGCGGUGGAAUGCGCAGAUAUCAGGAGGAAUACCGGUGGCGAAGGCGGGUCUCUGGGCUGUUACUGACACUGAGGAGCGAAAGCAUGGGGAGCGAACAGG
rnacentral:rRNA from 1 species